AUCUCUAAAUCUGAUCCACACAAAUUUUAUGACUAUGAAAAAUCACAUAAUUGGACCAAAAAAAGCAUUUUUUGGGACUUUUCAUAUUGGAAGAUCCAUCUAGUUCGUACCAAUAUUGAUGUAAUGCAUACAAAGAAGAACUUCUUUGACAAUAUUUUUCAUAUUUCAUGGACAACAAGGAGAGGACAAAGGAUAAUGAGAAGGCAAGAAUGGAUUUGAAAGUGUAUUAUCAACGAAAUGAUUUACACUGGCAAUUGAAUAAUGAUGGGAGAUGGAUUAAAUCAAAAGCAAAGUUUACCUUAAAUGAUGGUCAAAAUAAAGAUGUAUGUGAAUAGGUUGAUCAACUAAAGAUGCCUAAUGGAUAUACUUCUAAUUUGGGUAGAUGUGUUGAUAUGGAACAUUUAAAGUUAUUUGAAAUAUAGUCAUGACUAUCAUAUUUUCAUACAAUAUCUUAUGCCAGUUGCUUUUAGCGCACUUUCUAAACCUAUAUGAAAGCCAUUAACUGAACUAAGUCUAUUCUUUAUAGAUUUGUGCUCAACAGUUUUAUGGGUGAAUCAUCUAAUGAAAAUGGAACAAAAUAUUUCUGUAAUCUUGUUUAAGAUGUAAAAAAUAUUUUCACCCAGCUUUUUUGAUUCGAUGGAGCACUUAUCGAUUCAUUUGUCAUACAAAUCAAGAGUUUAUGGGCCAGUUAAAUAUUGAAGGAUGUAUCCAUUUGAAAGGUACAAAAAUUUAUUACUUGUCUCAUUAUUUUAUGACACAAUUAUUUAUUUUCUAAAAACAAUUGUGUAGGUUCCUAAAUAAAAUUAAAAAGACUAUCAAAAACAAAGCCAGAGUUGAAGGAUCUAUUUGUCAAGCAUAUUUGACUCAAGAAAUCUCAUACUUUGCUUUCCAUUGUUUUGAAAAAGGAUAAUGAGAAGGCAAGAAUGGAUUUGAAAGUGUAUUAUCAACGAAAUAAUUUACACUGGCAAUUGAAUAAUGAUGGAAGAUGGAUUAAAUCAAAAGCAAAGUUUACCUUAAAUGAUGGUCAAAAUAAAGAUGUAUGUGAAUAGGUUGAUCAACUAAAGAUGCCUAAUGGAUAUACUUCUAAUUUGGGUAGAUGUGUUGAUAUGGAACAUUUAAAGUUAUUUGAAAUAUAGUCAUGACUAUCAUAUUUUCAUACAAUAUCUUAUGCCAGUUACUUUUAGCGCACUUUCUAAACCUAUAUGAAAGCCAUUAACUGAACUAAGUCUAUUCUUUAUAGAUUUGUGCUCAACAGUAUUAUGGGUGAAUCAUCUAAUGAAAAUGGAACAAAAUAUUUCUGUAAUCUUGUUUAAGAUGUAAAAAAUAUUUUCACCCAGCUUUUUUGAUUCGAUGGAGCACUUAUCGAUUCAUUUGUCAUACAAAUCAAGAGUUUAUGGGCCAGUUAAAUAUCGAUAGAUGUAUCCAUUUGAAAGGUACAAAAAUUUAUUACUUGUCUCAUUAUUUUAUGACACAAUUAUUUAUUUUCUAAAAACAAUUGUGUAGGUUCCUAAAUAAAAUUAAAAAGACUAUCAAAAACAAAGCCAGAGUUGAAGGAUCUAUUUGUCAAGCAUAUUUGACUCAAGAAAUCUCAUACUUUGCUUUCCAUUAUUUUGAAAAAUGAUAAUGAGAAGGCAAGAAUGGAUUUGAAAGUUUAUUAUCAACGAAAUGAUUUACACUGGCAAUUGAAUAAUGAUGGGAGAUGGAUUAAAUCAAAAGCAAAGUUUACCUUAAAUGAUGGUCAAAAUAAAGAUGUAUGUGAAUAGG
rnacentral:lncRNA from 1 species